ensembl:snRNA U6 U6 spliceosomal RNA
AUGCUCACUUUGGCAGCACACAUACUAAAAUUGGAACAAUGCAAUUAACAUGACCCUUGUGCAAAGAUGACAUGUAAAUUUGUGAAGCAUUCUAUUUUGAA